rnacentral:rRNA from 1 species
AAUUACAGCCACACCAUCCUGGAUGAGCCCCAUCUUGUCUGAUCCUGGAAGCUAGGCAGGGUUGAACUGGAUAGCACUUGCAUGAGAGACAGGUAUGUCGACAUGCCUGUGAGAAAGGAGUUGUGUGGUCU